rnacentral:rRNA from 1 species
UACGUAGGGUGCAAGCGUUGUCCGGAAUCAUUGGGCGUAAAGAGCGUGUAGGCGGCCCGAUAAGUCCGCUGUGAAAGUCCAGGGCUCAACCCUGGAAUGCCGGUGGAUACUGUCGGGCUAGAGUCCGGAAGGGGCGAGUGGAAUUCCUGGUGUAGCGGUGAAAUGCGCAGAUAUCAGGAGGAACACCAGUGGCGAAGGCGGCUCUCUGGACCGUAACUGACGCUGAGGCGCGAAAGCGUGGGGAGCAAACAGG